GUGUUGUAUGAAAGGAGAAAAGGUUAGCACUCCCCUUGACAAGGAUGAAAGGGGCCCUCAGGCCUGACAACAUGCAUACAGUUAAGGCACUGCCACCUACUUCAUGGCAUCUAACCAUCCUUUUGG
ensembl:snRNA